UCAGGUGUUCCGAGAACCAACAACGGGCUUAAACUUUUCCCUUGGAACAUUAAUCGUAUUUCAUUUUACAGUCAAACAUAAAUCGAUAUCGAGCAUGCUUAGACGGAUACUUCAAAUGACUCCUGGGAAAGGAGGCUCCCAGAACUCUGAGUCAGACCAGCCCAGUGCAGACCUCAACAAUGACCAGACCUCUGAGGGAUUCAUCUGUCCCCAGUGCAUGAAGUCCCACAACUCUGCAGAGGAACUGUUUAAGCACUAUGAACUGUACCACGAUUCAGGAGACCAGCCCUCCCACAU